CACUUAACGCUUCAUUUAUUCCACUGAAGGAUCUGCACAUACAUAAACAAGUAAUUCAAGAAAUUAAGCUCCUGUAAGCGCAGCAAUUGUCUUUCCAGCUCACUGCAGGAACACCCCUGGUGUAGUUUCAGAAAAGAAUAAAUGGUGUCAGCACUGCCGGGAUGUGUCUUGUUCACCAUACAUUCAGACAGAGACAAUGGAAUAAAUGGAAGAUGUGCUGUCACUUUCAGCUAGAGCUGUGGCCUUCAGACCAACUCAGAUAUCAGUUACAGAGCAGCAACAAGCAGGAGUCAGAGCAUAUGGAGCUAUUUCUGUGACUGCAAAGAAGACAGCUAGUCAGCCACAAAUACCAUUUUUACAAGUGCAGUUCAAGUAGUCAUGAAUUAAAAACAUAAGAAUGGAAAUAUCAUGAGUAGCAUUAAAAUGAUACACUGCUGAACCAGAAUCAAGCGCUAUGCACUAUGGAGAAGGUAAGCUGUAAUUCUCAGCUAUCACAGUUCCCCUCAUCUCAUCCUAUUACCCAGCCCAAGCCAAUGUGCACAGACAGGCCAUGCAAAAUAUCUGUUAUAAAUAAAACGAAUACUCUUUGAGAGCAUCUUUGUUUGGAGGCGGAAUUGUAAUUUUGAACUACUAGACACUUGAGGAAAGGUCCUGUGCACAGGCUGCAGAAACCACAGAGGAAUUUCAUGUGCUGUUAAGACAUCCCUGGUAACCAGAGACAAGUGGGUUUUUUGCACCAGAGUGCUUUCAGCCUUUACAGUGACACUUCUCUCUUAGCUAUUGUGAUAAAUUGUGACCCCUUCUUUCCUCCUGGUUCUGCCCAUGAGAGAGCAGACACAGGAAACUGCAGUAGCUCAAGGUAGAGCCAUAAUUCCUUAAAAAGAGUGUGGAAGUCUCAGGUAUUUUCUUCCUCUUCUUCCUCUUCCUGAACACAGAAGGUAAUUCAGAGUUCAUCUUGUCUGAAUUCACAAAGUCUGGGAAGAAUGUGCUUACUGUAAGUGAUUCUGAACUCAAGAUUGCAUAUAUGACACUGAUGACAAAUUACAAACCAGUCAUUGGAAUAGACUGAUGUGCCAUGACCGGUAAUACUGGCUUGCUUGCAAAUUUAUGGGAAGGUUCUCUAAGAAGCUUGAAGCAUUUUCAAAGAAAACUGAAGUUCACACAUCAAUGUUUGUAAAUGGAGUUGAGACUCAGAGAGCUGUGACUUGCCCACCUCAUCUAGCAAAGUGAUAACAACUACAGAAAUAGAAUUCAUGAUUUCCAGACUCUCUCCCCCUCCUGUCUACUAACACAUUUUGCCACCCAAGAAGACCAUUUGCCAUGUCAUCAUCAAGGCAUAUCUGUGUAACACACUUUCUCCAUCUAUACAGGCUUUGCUUUUUGUAAGCCUCACUUCCCUAUCUAUGGACAAUAACAACACUUCACUGCUUCAAAGGGGUGGAAAGAGUAAUUGAACUUAAGACUCUCUAGUAUGCAGAUAUGGUAGUGGUCAUCUCGUAAAUAUUAAUACUAAAAUAAAAUCCUUACAUUUGGA